rnacentral:rRNA from 1 species
CAGUCGCCACGGUAAUACGUAGGUGGCAAGCGUUGUCCGGAAUUAUUGGGCGUAAAGCGCGCGCAGGAGGUUUAAUAAGUCUGACGUGAAAGCCCACGGCUCAACCGUGGAGGGUCAUUGGAAACUGUUAAACUUGAGUGCAGGAGAGAAAAGUGGAAUUCCUAGUGUAGCGGUGAAAUGCGUAGAGAUUAGGAGGAACACCAGUGGCGAAGGCGGCUUUUUGGCCUGUAACUGACACUGAGGCGCGAAAGCGUGGGGAGCAAACAGGAUUAGAUACCCCUGUAGUCCCUGUCUCUUAUAC